UACAGAGGGGGCAAGCGUUGUUCGGAAUUACUGGGCGUAAAGGGCUCGUAGGCGGCCAACUAAGUCGGACGUGAAAUCCCUGGGCUUAACCGGGGAACUGCGUCUGAUACUGGAUGGCUUGAGUUCGGGAGAGGGAUGCGGAAUUCCAGGUGUAGCGGUGAAAUGCGUAGAUAUCUGGAGGAACACCGGUGGCGAAGGCGGCAUCCUGGACCGACACUGACGCUGAGGAGCGAAAGCCAGGGGAGCAAACGGG
rnacentral:rRNA from 1 species